GCGCCGAGAAGCCCACAGCCAAUUACCAGGUGAAAUGCACUGAAUGAAGUGACAUUUAGUGAAGUCACUUCUUGGGUGGGAAGUGCUUUUUGGCACUGAGAUCAGGGGGACAUGGCACUGAAGGAGUUACACGUGCCAGCAAACAGAGACUCAGAACUCAGUUUUGGGUUUGACUUAAAAGCAGCUGGUUUUGCCCCAGGGUGUAUAGCUGGCAGUGAACAAACCGGAGGGUGUUUUCACCCAGUCCAGUGUGGUCCAGCCCCACCAGCAAAAUGCACAGUGAGAGUUCCCCAGGCAACACCCCGACUGCAACCACCCCUGCAAAGACCCCCCAAGGACCCAGGGGUUAAUCAUCCUCUUGCAAAACAUCAGAGACCACUAAGAUGGGCACCACAGGGGCAGACAGUGCCAUGGAGCAACAAGGAGCCGCAUGCUCAUCCCACUAUGGAAAUACACUGCCAGAUGCCCUGCCUUGGUCCUUGCUGCCUGCUUUGCUCUGCCAGCCCCAUUACUGUGUGGUAAAGUGGUGACUGUGGGGCAGUGGGGGGUCCCUGGACCAGCCCCACUUAUUUGUGCAGGGAGGGAUGGGGGUGGCAGAAUGUGGCCUUUUCCCACCCGGGUCCAACACAUGAGUGGGGGUUUGGCGGUGUUUCCCUGCAGCCCCUUGCCUGCAGCCAAUGGACGAGGGUUCCUGCCAGCACUAUGCCCUGCUCUGGUAUUACCAUGCAGAGGCAGACACCUGCCGACCCUUCAUCUUUGGGGGGUGCCGAGGAAACAGCAACCGCUUUGAAACCAAGUGGAAAUGUGAGCGGCGGUGCAAAACCUCAGCAGUCAGAGGGAGGUGAUCAGCUGCAAUUGCCUUGUUUAAACCAAAGAGAAAUGGAGCUGUGAGAAGUCUCUCCAGGACACCUCGGAGACUGGGAGAGCAAGACAACCCAUUUAACGUGAAGAGGCAAGGGAUGCUUGAAAAAAAAUGUUGGAAAACUGUAAUUAU